GAGGGUAUAGCUCAGUGGUAGAGUACAUGGCUAGCAUGGGUUCAAUCCCCAAUACCUCCA
rnacentral:tRNA from 1 species